UGGGAGAGGGGGAUGGGUGAGGUUUACAAAACCCUUGGGGGUUUGGGUUGCAAAGUGUCUAUCCUGGUCUUAUGUGGUAGUUGCCAGGUAAAGUGGGGGGAGGCGGUGUUGUACACCUUGGGUUGGUCGUGUGGUUGGUGUCGCCCGGGGAACCCGGGGUUCAGGGGUGGGGAAGAGGAGGAAGAGUUUCACGUUCCUGUUACUCCUCUCCCCCCCGCGCUAGGUGUGG